GCCAAACAGCUAGCUCAAAAAACUUUAAAAAUCAACAACAUUAAUGAUACGACAUUAUCUUAACCACUAAACUAAAUCAUUCUUUUACCUGAGUAUGGGAGACAGAAAGGGUUAAACUUGAAGCAAUAGAAAAAGUACCGCAAGGGAAAGCUGAAAGAGAAAUGAAACAACCCAUAAAAGCAAUGAAAAGCAAAGAUUAAAUCUUGUACCUUUUGCAUCAUGAUUUAGCAAGCACCCUCAAGCAAAGAGCCCUAUAGUUUGAAACCCCGAAACCAAGUGAGCUACCCCGAGACAGCCUAUAUAAAUUAGGGCCAACCCGUCUCUGUGGCAAAAGAGUGGGAAGAGCUCCGGGUAGAAGUGACAGACCUACCGAACUUGGUGAUAGCUGGUUGCUUAAGAAAUGGAUAGAAGUUCAGCCCCAUGCCCCUCAAGUCAAAACGCCUUGCCAAAUGACCAAGAGAGAAAUAUGGGAGUUAGUUGAAGGGGGUACAGCCCCUUUAACCAAGGAUACAACCUUUUUAGGUGAAUAAAGAUCAUAAUUCAAAAGACUUGCUGUUUUAGUGGGCCCAAAGGCAGCCAUCUGGACAGAAAGCGUUAAAGCUCAGACAGAAAACAGUCUAUUAUACCGGUAAAAAAUCUUAUUUCCCUUUUAUUAUUAAGCCAAUCCAUGCCCCCAUGGAAGAGAUUAUGCUAAAAUGAGUAACGAGAAGGUCCGCCCUUCUCCCAGCACACGUGUAAGCCAGAUUGGACAAACCACUGGAAACUAACGAGCCCAAACCAAGAGGGCAAUGUGAACCAUAAAGAAAUCAAGAAAACCCCACAGUUAAGAAUCGUUAACCCCACACCGGAGUGCCAUAAAGGGAAAGACUAAAAGAGGGGGAAGGAACUCGGCAAACACAAGCCUCGCCUGUUUACCAAAAACAUCGCCUCCUGCAACUUUUUAUGUAUAGGAGGUCCAGCCUGCCCAGUGACUACGGGUUCAACGGCCGCGGUAUUUUGACCGUGCAAAGGUAGCGCAAUCACUUGUCUUUUAAAUAAAGACCUGUAUGAAUGGCUAGACGAGGGCUUAGCUGUCUCCCCCCUCCAGUCAGUGAAAUUGAUCUAUCCGUGCAGAAGCGGAUAUGAUGAUACAAGACGAGAAGACCCUUUGGAGCUUAAGGUACAAAGCUUAAUCACGUUAAACAACUUAACAAAGAGAUAAGAACUUAGUGAGACAUAAGACUUUACCUUCGGUUGGGGCGACCACGGAGGAAAAACAAGCCUCCAAGAGGAACGGGCAUAUGCCCUAAAGCUUAGAGAAACCUCUCUACGCCGCAGAACAUCUGACCAACAAUGAUCCGGCGUAAAGCCGAUCAACGGACCAAGUUACCCUAGGGAUAACAGCGCAAUCCUCUCCCAGAGUCCAUAUCGACGAGGGGGUUUACGACCUCGAUGUUGGAUCAGGACAUCCUAAUGGUGCAGCCGCUAUUAAGGGUUCGUUUGUUCAACGAUUAAAGUCCUACGUGAUCUGAGUUCAGACCGGAGUAAUCCAGGUCAGUUUCUAUCUGUAACGCUACUUUUCCCAGUACGAAAGGAUCGGAAAAGAGGGGCCCAUGCUUAAAGCACGCCCCACCCCUAAUUAAUGAAAACAAAUAAAGUAAGUAAAGGGAGGGCCAAAGCCCAACGCCAAAAUAAGGCUAU
rnacentral:rRNA from 1 species